GCCCCCCCCCAACCUUCUCCUUGGCAGUGGAGUAUAUAAGAGUGAAUCCAACGAGCUGCAACCACACUCGUCCACAAGUUCUCCUACCAUCAACACCACCAUGAAGUACACGCUGAUCUUGCUUGCCGCCUGUGUGGUGGUCCUGGUCAGCGGCCGCCCUCAACAGGUUGAAGAAGACUACCCCCCUGCCAAAUAUAGCUUCGAGUACAGGGUGGAGGAUAAUGAGAGCGGCAACUCCUACGGCCACCAGGAGACCCGCGACGGAGACAACACAGAGGGACGCUAUGAGGUGCUGCUCCCAGACACCCGCAGGCAGAUCGUCGUGUAUAAUGUCAACGGUGAAGGAGGUUUUGAUGCUGAGGUGACCUAUGAGGGCGAGGCUGUCAUCACUCGCUAGGUCGCCCUCAAGCAUUAGGCCGCCCUCAAAUACUAGAUCGCCAUCAAGCAUUAGCAUCCAUCACAAGCCACACACUUCAACCACAAGAUUUCAUGGCUUAAAUUAAAUAAAAAAAGGUUUUAACGAACCAUGUUUUCGAAGUUAGGAGGGCGGCCAUAAGUUUGAAUUAGACUAAACUCUACACUCAAGAUCGAACAGUAAAUUUGCCGUCUGAAGAUAACUUUAACUGUUCAGCAUAGACUUCACUCAAAAUUAUCGGCAAACAAAGCUUCUUUUUCACCUCUGACAUCCUGCAAGUAGCAUCAAACUCCUUCGAUUUAUAUGACAGACCCUUGAAAACGUGUCUUCGUAAUCUUCUUCCUCAGUGUACGUGUAUCUGUGAUAAAAGUGACCCCGCAUGAUUUCAGGUCUCCAGGCAGCGGUUCACAAAGACCAGAACCUUGAACUCUUAAAAAAUAAAAAUAAAUAAACACCAUUGUAACAUUCACCAUUAAUUGGCUCAUUUUAGUCACUACACAGAAUCGAAAGUCAGUAUAUUAUUAUUACACUGACGUUCUACCACAACUAGAAGCGUUUGUUAUUCUUGAUGAGAAGAAAACACAAAAACAAAGAAUAACCUACGAAACUUCGAGAACCUGGUAGAUGUGAAUGUGUAGACGUCCAAAAUGUUAUUAUUGUUGCUGUUAUGAUUAUUAUUUUUGUUGUAUUCGUCCUUUAGCUAAUGGGUGAGACUGCCAGGCCGCGCCAAGGUUCUCCUCACCCCACUGCUUCUUCUGUUUGAGCUCUGUUAUCAAUAAACUGUUAUAAAAAACGCGGUGUUUUGAUAAUUUACACACUCCCCUCCAGACCCCAAACACUGUGAACUGAUGGCUAAAGCACUCACCCACUCUCUCUGUCUCUUCGUUUAAACACUUUUUCGUUUUAUCAUGUAUACAAUUCAGUACAGGUAUACUGAUGUAAAAAAAAAAAGCCCAAAUUAUUGUGGUAAUUGUAUAGCUGAGAGUGGCAAUGUGGCGGAGGUUCUCCUCUCGGCCACACAAUGCCAAAUCUGACGGGUCUUAUUAUACCAUAGUCAGGUAAACAUGUCUUCGUGGUUUGUCCAUCAGAAGAUACGAAAAUAUUCAAGAAAUUCUGACAAAUUUGAAAAAAUUCACGCGUUUACCCUAAACACUGUCCGUUUUCUCAUUAGAAUAUGACUGAGGUACGAUAACAUCUAAGUAUUGACAAAAAUAUUUAUAUAUGUAUGUUUAAACCUGAACCCCGAUAAAAAUCCCAUUUUAUAUUAUAAAACAUUAUAAUACAACCGACUUAUACAACUUUUCCGAUUGUUUAAUUAAAUUUUGUCGAAAUGGCAAACAUACAUGGCAUGGCAACUUUAAAGUAGGAAGAAUGUGAGGUGGUCGGAGCCGGACCCGGAGGCAAACUUCAAUCCUUUAUCUUCGUAUUUCAGUACUGUCUCUCGACUCUUUGAUAGGGGACAUCGCUGGCCGGUGUCUGCUAAGAAUUAAUAGAAACUGAAUGUGAAAAGGACCUGACAACGUACUGAAGUUCUCGGCCCAUUGUGAUGUGAAUCGAGCAAUUAAACCAUUUGGUUAAUACGUCAGAGGAGCUCCUGUGUGAAGUGUGUGUGUGUGUCUCACUCACUCACAUCUGGGAAACAUAAUCGCUAAGGUCACCCUUAAGCCAGACGCCUUCCUUAUCUUCUUACUUCACCCGAUCAAUCCAUUAUGAGUGACUGUGAUGACUGUGACUGUGGUGACUGUGAUUGUGGUGACUGUGGUGACUGUGACUGUGAUUGUGGUGACUGUGACUGUGACUGUGGCUCCUGCUUCUGGAUCUGCUGUACCGACGACACAAGUAAUGAUCGUCGCCGGAACCAAAAGAAGCAAAAUGAGGAUGACGCUGUUGUGACGACCCAACCACUUAGUUCGUCAGUUCCUGCCAAUACUUAACCUUAAGUAGCGGCACCUAUCUGCACAAGACACAUACGAGCCAACUGGAACCCAAUUCAUCUACUGCCUACACCAUCUGUAGGGAAUAUCUCCAGCUAGAUCCUUCACUCAGAUAAAAUUACUGUCAAGCUCUGUGUCUGUUUAUGUUUCAGCUGAUUACAACUACCAGGGAUCUUAGGACAAUAAACCCAAAUAAUCCUGCCACGUCAGUUGUGCUUCCUGUCUCACUGCAAAUACGCAGAAGUCAAAAUGACAGAUUUUGGAGCAACUCGUCUGUUAUCGUCAUUAUUUGUUCUUGUUUUGAAGAAUGUAUGUUUUAGUGUUGCUGGAAAAGUGUUGUCCUAUAACUUGUAUGACUACAACUCCGGUGACAAAUUCGACAAUUACCUGGCCGCUGCACGGUAGGACAGCCGAGCAGAGGCUGUUGUUGGCAGCCUGAGUGGCGCCAUCUUGACAUGAUCCAUGACAUUAGUGAUCUACGAUACACAAUGUGCUGUCUUCCGCCGCCACCUCUACUUCCGGUGCCACCGUGACCUCAACUCCAAUACUGACGCUCCUGGGCAUUCUCCCCGUCUCUACUCUGACGCUGCCAGGCCUAAUGUUCCCACCUAUCUCCUCCGGCGAGGUAAAACAGUUCAUGUCCCUCCUUCACAAACUAGAGUGCCAUAUUGAGCAUCUAUUUGGAUCCCUCCUUACCGUCGUCACCGACCUACAGCGUCGAAUGGUGCCCUCUGUGAGCCCCACCUACCCACACCCAACCUCACCGCCGC